CUUCCGUAGGGGAACCUGCGGAGGGAUCAUUACCGAGUUUACAACUCCCAAACCCAUGUGAACAUACCUACUGUUGCUUCGGCGGGAUUGCCCCGGGCGCCUCGUGUGCCCCGGAUCAGGCGCCCGCCUAGGAAACUUAAUUCUUGUUUUAUUUUGGAAUCUUCUGAGUAGUUUUUACAAAUAAAUAAAAACUUUCAACAACGGAUCUCUUGGUUCUGGCAUCGAUGAAGAACGCAGCGAAAUGCGAUAAGUAAUGUGAAUUGCAGAAUUCAGUGAAUCAUCGAAUCUUUGAACGCACAUUGCGCCCGCCAGUAUUCUGGCGGGCAUGCCUGUCUGAGCGUCAUUUCAACCCUCAUGCCCCUAGGGCGUGGUGUUGGGGAUCGGCCAAAGCCCGCGAGGGACGGCCGGCCCCUAAAUCUAGUGGCGGACCCGUCGUGGCCUCCUCUGCGAAGUAGUGAUAUUCCGCAUCGGAGAGCGACGAGCCCCUGCCGUUAAACCCCCAACUUUCCAAGGUGACCUCAGAUCAGGUAGCAUGCCCCGAAUU
rnacentral:rRNA from 1 species